rnacentral:rRNA from 1 species
AUUGAACGCUGGCGGCAUGCUUUACACAUGCAAGUCGAACGGUAACAGGCCGCAAGGUGCUGACGAGUGGCGAACGGGGGAGUAAUGCAUCGGAACGUGCCCAGUCGUGGGGGAUAACGCAGCGAAAGUUGCGCUAAUACCGCAUACGCACUAUGGAUGAAAGCGGGGGACCGGAAGGCCUGGUGCGAUUGGAGCGGCCGAUGUCAGAUUAGGGAGUUGGUGGGGUAAAGGCUCACCAAGCCGACGAUCUGUAGCUGGUCUGAGAGGACGACCAGCCACACUGGGACUGAGACACGGCCCAGACUCCUACGGGAGGCAGCAGUGGGGAAUUUUGGACAAUGGGCGCAAGCCUGAUCCAGCAAUGCCGCGUGCAGGAAGAAGGCCUUCGGGUUGUAAACUGCUUUUGUACGGAACGAAACGGUCCUGGUUAAUACCCGGGGCUAAUGACGGUACCGUAAGAAUAAGCACCGGCUAACUACGUGCCAGCCGCCGCGGUAAUAC